UCGGGAAUUUUGUGCAAUGGGCGAAAGCCUGACACAGCAACGCCGCGUGAAGGAUGAAGUCCCUCGGGAUGUAAACUUCGUAAGAAUAGGAAGAAUAAAUGACGGUACUAUUUGUAAGGUCCGGCUAACUACGUGCCAGCAGCCGCGGUAAUACGUAGGGACCAAGCGUUGUUCGGAUUUACUGGGCGUAAAGGGUGCGUAGGCGGCAUAUCAAGUCACUUGUGAAAUCUCCGGGCUUAACUCGGAACUGCCAAGUGAUACUGAUGUGCUAGAGUGCAGAAAGGGCAACUGGAAUUCUUGGUGUAGCGGUGAAAUGCGUAGAUAUCAAGAGGAACACCUGAGGCGAAGGCGAGUUGCUAGGCUGACACUGACGCCGAGGUACGAAAGCUAGGGGAGCGAACGGGAUUAGAUACCCCGGUAGUCCCUGAGCGGGCUGGCAAGGCGCAU
rnacentral:rRNA from 1 species